GAGAGAGAGAGAGAGAGAAAGUCCACUCGGUUUAUGUAACAUGGCCGAAGAGGGACAUUAAUGCUCGUUUCGAGUGCCUGCUGUCUCCCGCAUUCCCGGCAGCUGUUUGCAUUCUGCUUACAUGCGUUACGACCAAGCACAAACACAUGGAAAUAGGUGUGCUCGCGCUCAAACACAUCCUCGAGUAUAGUGUGCGUGUGUGUGUGAGUAUCUAUAUAUAUAUAUGCAUAAUACAUAUAUGCAUACAUAUAUACAUACUAUAAGCAGAACAGGAUAUCGUACGUUGCGUAGUCCCACGGUGCGUGAACGUGUACAUACACACGUAAAUAACAACAUACGAAUACACCAACUUCAUCCUCCUUCGUAUUCAAGGACAGAGAUCUGCACACGAGUGGCUCUCUUGUAGGAGCUGCUUGCUUUGCUGCUUGCUUGCCUGCCUGCCUGCCUGCCUGCCUGCCUGCCUGCCUGCCUGCCUGCCUGCCUGCUUGCUUGCCUUAUCCGGAUCGUUUUCCAAAUAGCGGUAUACCCGAGAAUCUCGAAACUCGAUACACUUUGUGAUCAAGCCGACAAUGAUUUUCCACAUUUACGUAUGUGACGGAACGUGGGAAGGUGGGAGGAAGAGGAGUGAACGCGCGUGCACGCAUGUAUUAUCUAUUUCUAAUCUCUAGUUCCGUUAUUUUCUUUCUUCGCAACGUCGAUUUUCAGUAUAUUCUUCGAUAUUUUUUUUUUAUUCUAUUUCGUUUUCUUUAUUUUUCCUUUUAUUUCUUUUAUUUAUUUUAAUUCUUAUUUUUUCUCUUUUUUUUUCAUAAGAUAAUAUGCUUCCAUGAUGGAAAAUAAACCGGUUUGUUUCCUUCCAUUUCUGUUUGAGAUUACGUUUACACUCCGUGAACCAAUCGAGAGACUGUGAAGGUUGUGAUCGUACGACUACAAUGACAAUGAUAACGCGACCAACUACGAUGAAAACGACGACGACGACGACGACGACGACGACGACGACGAUAUCGUUUGGAAACGGGUAGAUACGAAAGAACAAAAGAAUUCCUACAUGCGGAUAUGCGCCAUUGAAAAAGCACGCGGUGCUGCUUCCUUCCUAGCCAGUAGGAAGAAAGAAGAGAAAAGAGGAAACGGUGUUUUCUUCGGUGCGACGUCCUCGAUAGUAUUACCAAGAACGUCUGGAAUUAACCGGUUGGCUAGACGGGGAAGAAAAGAGAAAUGGCGGAGUUCGACGAACAUGGCGACCUUGCGACCUUUUCUCCUUUAAUAAACGACCAAUUCUUUUUCUUUUUUCAUUCUCUCUCUCUCUCUCUCUCUCUCUCUCUCCCCCCCUCUUCUCUUUCUUCUCGUAAUUCUUAGAUUUUUGUUCCAUCUCUUUCUUCCUUUUCUUGCCUUCCUCAAUCAAUCCGAUCUUCUUUUCAUUAUUCAGAUAAAAAUUCUAUCAAAUUGUCUCCAUCGAUUUCUUCGUUAUAUUACUUUUUUUUUCCUCUCUUUCCUUAUCAUUUCUAAAAGAAUCCGAUCGAAUUAACGAUUCCGUCUCUAUUAGAACGACGAGUUUUUUUUUUUCUUUUCCUUUUAUUUGCCAUUUAACAAUUUUAAACCACCGACGCGUCCAAAUGUAAUAAAUUGGGAUAUAAUAAAUGGGAUCAGUCAUGUUUUUCGAGAGUUGAAAACUUAUUAAAUAUAAUUAAUUGCAAUCUCAAUAAAAAAAAGAACUAGCGAGAAGAUAACUUUAAAUUUAUUCCUUAUUUUCUUUCUAUCGAGCGAAAAUAAAAGCUGUCGAUCGUAGGGGGCCAGCGGGCGGGCAGGCUGGGUGAGUGGGGAAAGUGAAAUUACUUCUUUACGAACGAUGAAUUAUCCGAAUUAAUCAUAUUUAUCGAGUAACGAUGACAGAAAAAAAGGAGAGAAUCUUUUAUCUCCUUUUAUCGUUUUUACCGUUUUUACUUAUUGACAUUUUCUUCAUCAGCAAUUUUUGUUUUGUUUUUUAUAAAUCUACACCGGAAGUCAGUAUCUCGAUAAUGCUCCAUGAUAAAGAAGAAGAAGAGUAGUCAGAAGAAAGAAGAAAAAAGACUAAACAAAAAUUCCCCCUUGCCGCCCCGCCAAUCCACCCCCAAAAAAAGAGAAGAUAAAAGAUAAAGCUAGUCAAGAAGUAGACAAGAAUCAACGAUGUUUGCUAAGGGUUUUUCCCCUUGAACGGAUCCCUUCAAGAUAAUCUUAUUUCAAAAAAAGAAAAAAAAAAAGAACGAAACAAAAAAAGAACAAAAAAAAAAAGAGAUUGCCGAUCUGCAGAAAAGUAUCGAAAGGGUACUAGUACGAGUAUCAGCAUCAGCAACAGCAAUGGCAGAAGGAGAAGAGGAAGAGGAAGGAAAAAAAGGGUGGAUGAGAGGAAGGAGGAGGAGGAGGAGGAGGAGAAAGAGAAAGAAAAAUAAAAAGAAAAAGAAAAAAAGGUAGCUCGUUAAGGCAUGACCUUUACUGGCGGGAACGGAACGUGGGAGGUUAUAAUACACUUAGUGCACGCUUUCGUUUAUCGCAGCGCGCGCACAUAGCUCUCUCUCUCUCUCUCUCUCCCUCUCCUUUUCUUCCCUCCUCCUUCCACCUAUCCCUCACCCUCUCCCACAGCCACUUUAUCUCUCUCUCUCUCCCUCUUUUUGUCGCGUUGCUUUUCUUGCUUCGGGAUGAAUGCAAGUCGUAACAGGCACGCGGUGUACUGAUGAGACGUGGCUGUAGAAUGGAGGAAGGAAGGGGAAGGGAGGAGCUGAACGAAGAGAGAGGGAGAGAGAGAGAGAUGUUGGAAACGCGAGACGAGCUGGAUCCGCGCAUGACCGUGUCUACCCGUAAGGUAGACAAAGAUGGCUGUAUAGACGGCUGCAGUUGGACCGAAAGAGACAGAGCUAUAUAUAUAUAUAUAUAUAUAUGUAUAUACAGAGAGAGAGAGAAAGAGGGAAGAGGACAUAGUCGCACCACGAAGAAGCUCGAGCAAUAAAGAUAGAGAUACGAGAGAGGGGAAGCUUGUGCCGUGCUCCCAGUGAGCGAGAGAAAGAAACGAGAGGUCAAAGGCCUUCGUGCGGAACUCCGAUGUGCCCGACGAGUAACCACCGGCUGAGCUGUUACACCAGCGCCAUCAAACUACUACUAUCUCAUGCUCUUGUCUCUCCGCUUUUCCCUGCAUGCUCUCUCUCGUGACGUUAGUGUGUAUGCGCGUGCGUUCGUACAUAUGUAUGUAUGCGUAUCUAUGGGUUGGUCUCCAAUCCAACUGGCAGUAUACUACCAAUACAUGUUCAAAAGAUAGGGGCAAACUCCUCCUGCGCGUCGAUAAUAUAUUCUGUGAGCGCACGCGCGCAUUCACGCACACGAAAGAGCGAGAGCGCGCGCGAGAGAGAGAGAGAGAGAUAGAGAAAGUCGAAAAAGAUAGCGAGAGGAAGGGAGAAGAAAGAGAGAGACAUAGGAUUUUGAAACGCAUGCGUGUUGUUGCACGUUCGGGAACGCAUUUAACCGUCUCCCCUGGAUAUAAUACUGUAGUUGUGUGCCUGUCGUGUUCUUAUACGUACUAUUACAAUACACUGACGUGAGGAUCGUACAUGUGCCUCUCUGUGAUAUUGGGUACAUAUAUCAUGUGUCUCCUAUGUAUUAACUAAGUUCGUGCGCGCGCGUGUCUCCGUAUUUGUCUGUUCUCCUCGAUUUGUGCGAUAUUUGGUUGGGAUCUUUGGUGUGGUAGUAGGUAGUAGUAGUAAUAGUAGUAGUAGUAGUAGUAGUAGAAGGUGGAGGAGGAGGGUCGAGAAAAUAAUGCAUAUCUCGAGCCAACGGACAGGAAUGAAGGCAAGAGUGUUUUCUGGAGAAGGUCAACGUAUCGAGCAAGAACGAGGAUGACGUUGUUGCUGUUCCUGGUGUUAGUACCGGUCUGGGCUCUGUGGUAAAGAGUGGGGUGUGAUAGGUUGGGGGGUAAGGGGAGCUGAUGGGAAUGAGUAAUGGCGUCGAGUGGUUCCGGAGGAUGCUUUCGACACGUAAAGUCCUCCUCCUCCUCUCCUCUUCCUUCUCCUUUUCCUCUCCUUCGUUGCAUUCUCGUCUCUCUUCGGUUAAUGCACUGACCCACUUUACCCAAGUAACCUUAUAGAAAUAGAUAGGCUCUUUGAUACGCGUUCCGAAGCAAAAAUGUUGAAACCAUGGGGUUUAUCCAUGAGGCGUACCUUGUUAAUUACCGUGAAACCCGCUUCGAAGGGAAAUGCGUGUGGCAUUAGCAUACGUUUAAGGAAGUCAAUGGCGCGUCCCUGACGAAUACAUAAUCGGUACUUACAACGAUCGAUGCCGAUUAUCUUUCGUUUGUUAAAACGCGUAGGUGUUUUGGUGUUUCGGUGGGAUGCCAUAAAAGAUCUCUCUUUUUUUUUUUUUUUUUUUUUUCUUAACAAUUGCUCUCGAGAUAAUUCUCGAGAAAGAAAUAUUCAGAGACAUGCAAGGAUAAUUUAAUUGACUAUAAUAGUGGUCUGAAAGAAUUUUUGACGAUCGGUGUAACAAGGUUUAAAGCUAUCCUCUAUUUGUUCCUUUUUCGAAAAUAAAUUAAAUUAAACUCCGUGACAUUUUAGUACUACUAUUAUUAUUAUUAUUAUUAUUCUUUCUGAAAAUGAAGAUUGCAUAUCUCUUCCGCAAAUCCUUUCCUUUCCUCCUUCCUUUCUAUUAUCCUUUAUCACAUGUAUAAAGUAUGUCCAGUAUUCGAGGAACGUUUCUACCAUACUUUUUCCUGUGUCCACGUUAAUAAAUAAAAAUAUAUAUCUAUGAGUAUGUGUAUAGCUAGGAUAAGAGGAUAACUACGAAUCCUUAUAAAAGAACGUAGCUCUUAUCUUAACCUAAAAGAAAGGAUAUGUUUUUUGCAACGAAACUUGCUCGAGCUUUUACAAUAAAAAAAAAAAAAAAAAAAAAAAAAGAGAAAAAAAGAAGCGUUCGUUGUUUCAUUGCGAGAAAUUACUGAGAGAAUAUAAACAAAAACAAUAAUGGACGAUAUUAUUUUAUUUUUUUUUAAUUCUUCGAGUUAGAAUUUUUCUCUCUCCUUUUUUCCUUUAUUUACAUUUCAUCAUUCUUUUAUUUUAUAAUUUAUUCCUUUUCCUUUUAUUAUUUGUUAAAUAUAGAUAUCUAUUUCAUUUGGGCGAUCGUACGAAAAAUAGAUCUACGACUCGUUUCAACAUCACGACAUCCACGAAAUCGUGGAAUUAGGAGGAAUUCGAUCGAAGGGAAACCUGUUGUCUCGUCGACGGCAAAACGGGUUUUUUAUUCUUUCGCUCGUCUCUACGGUCUCUUAGCAAAUUCUUCUCAUCUUCCUUUCUUCGAUGGCAUUCAUUUUUAUAAAGAGAAAGAGAGAGAAGAAUUCAAACGGACGAUACAUCUCUUUCUCUAUUUAAAUCUCUAGGGAGAUUUUAAAUAAAAAGUUUUUCUUUAAAAUCGAUCUCUAAAAUCCUAACUUCCGACGAUAUCCACAAAUCGUUUAACUAUUUCCAUCGUUUGUAUCUCUCCCGUGAGAUAUCGAAUAGUUUUUUUAUCUUUUUCUUUUUUAUUUUUUUCUUUUUCAUUUAUUCCCCAUUCACAGUGUCGUAUCGAUUCUGAUCAUUUUGUGCGGGGAUAUAUAUAUAUGAGGUGUCGUAAAAAUAAGCCUUUAAUUCAAGAGCCGACGUUCUUUUUUCUUUUUAUUUUCCUUCAUUUUUUUUCUUUUCCUCCCUUUAGAAUUUAUAUCUAUCAAUUUUCAUUCAACGAUCGCGCAUAACCACGAGGACUAAACGAUUUUAUCGCGAUACGUUCGACGACACCGCGAUAAAAAUUUAUUAUCGUAAUCGAACGAUUCUUUGUGCAAAUGCAAACAGAAAACGACGAGAAAUUUUUGGCCAUUAACCAUGUGCCAAUGUAAGUAAAUAUUCUGAUUAUUUCUACAUACGACAAUGAAAAAAUUCAAACAAUUAUUAUUUUCAAAGAAUGAUCCCAGUCUUUUAAUUGCGAGCAUUAUCGGAAAUACGAAAAUAUUGCAUUUGUCAGAUGACGUCGAAGGUCAAACAAUUUAUCGGAAUACAUUGAAAUAAAUUAAUAUUAAUAAAUGAAACAGUAGAAGAAAAAUGGCGAAGUAAUCGUUGAAAGGGGGAGCAGCACGAGAGGAUCAUGUUGCUAACAAUGAAUACCGAGAUAAGAUCGAUUUAUCGUCGGGACGAGCUGGUGUAUUUAUCGAGCGUAAAAAGAAAAGAAAAAAGGAACAAAA